rnacentral:rRNA from 1 species
GACGAACGCUGGCGGCGCGCCUAACACAUGCAAGUCGAACGGUGAACCGGGCUUCGGCCCGGGGAUCAGUGGCGAACGGGUGCGUAACACGUGGGCAACCUGCCCCCGACCCUGGGAUAACCCCGGGAAACCGGAGCUAAUACCGGAUACUCUCCUCCGACCGCUUGGUCGAGGGAGGAAAGGUCCGCCGGUCGGGGAUGGGCCCGCGGCCUAUCAGCUUGUUGGUGGGGUAACGGCCUACCAAGGCGACGACGGGUAGCUGGUCUGAGAGGACGACCAGCCACACUGGGGCUGAGACACGGCCCAGACUCCUACGGGAGGCAGCAGUGGGGAAUCUUGCGCAAUGGGCGGAAGCCGGACGCAGCGACGCCGCGUGGGGGACGAAGGCCUUUCAGGUCGUAAACCCCUUUCGGCAGGGACGAAGCGAUCUCGUGACGGUACCUGCAGAAGAAGCCUCGGCUAACUACGUGCCAGCCGCCGCCGUAACAC